rnacentral:rRNA from 1 species
UAAGCAGUAAAUGUGGAGCCGUAGCGAAAGCGAGUCUGAAUAGGGCGUUUAGUAUUUGGUCGUAGACCCGAAACCAGGUGAUCUACCCUUGGUCAGGUUGAAGUUCAGGUAACACUGAAUGGAGGACCGAACCGACUUACGUUGAAAAGUGAGCGGAUGAACUGAGGGUAGCGGAGAAAUUCCAAUCGAACCUGGAGAUAGCUGGUUCUCUCCGAAAUAGCUUUAGGGCUAGCCUCAAGUGAUGAUUAUUGGAGGUAGAGCACUGUUUGGACGAGGGGCCCCUCUCGGGUUACCGAAUUCAGACAAACUCCGAAUGCCAAUUAAUUUAACUUGGGAGUCAGAACAUGGGUGAUAAGGUCCGUGUUCGAAAGGGAAACAGCCCAGACCACCAGCUAAGGUCCCAAAAUAUAUGUUAAGUGGAAAAGGAUGUGGCGUUGCCCAGACAACUAGGAUGUUGGCUUAGAAGCAGCCAUCAUUUAAAGAGUGCGUAAUAGCUCACUAGUCGAGUGACACUGCGCCGAAAAUGUACCGGGGCUAAACAUAUUACCGAAGCUGUGGAUUGUCCUUUGGACAAUGGUAGGAGAGCGUUCUAAGGGCGUUGAAGCAUGAUCGUAAGGACAUGUGGAGCGCUUAGAAGUGAGAAUGCCGGUGUGAGUAGCGAAAGACGGGUGAGAAUCCCGUCCACCGAUUGACUAAGGUUUCCAGAGGAAGGCUCGUCCGCUCUGGGUUAGUCGGGUCCUAAGCUGAGGCCGACAGGCGUAGGCGAUGGAUAACAGGUUGAUAUUCCUGUACCACCUAUAAUCGUUUUAAUCGAUGGGGGGACGCAGUAGGAUAGGCGAAGCGUGCGAUUGGAUUGCACGUCUAAGCAGUAAGGCUGAGUAUUAGGCAAAUCCGGUACUCGUUAAGGCUGAGC